rnacentral:ncRNA from 1 species
GAUAACAGGCUGAUGCCGCCCGAGAGUUCCUAUCGACGGCGGCGUUUGGCACCUCGAUGUCGGCUCAUCGCAUCCUGGGGCUGAAGCAGGUCCCAAGGGUUGGUCUGUUCGCCCAUUAAAGCGGUACGUGAGCUGGGUUCAGAACGUCGUGAGACAGUUC